UAUAGUAUGUAAGUAUUAGUUUUUUCCCACUUAACGGGGGGGUUUUUUUUUUAAGAAAAAGUACAUAUUAUGGUGGAAAAAACCUAUGUCGCACACUGAGGAAGGUUGCGACAAAGAAAAACCGACAAACGUGCCGAGGAAACAAACACAGAUUAUAUACAAAUUUAUGCACAUCAAUUAACAUGUCAACAAACAAGUGUUCUCUUAGUCAAUGGGUUUGUCAACACAGUAGUGACUUGAAAACGGUGACAGAUUCCGAAAAUUACUUUUAACGGUGAUUAAGUCAAGAGACAAGCGAGAGUAUGAUGGCCAAAGAGUAUAUAUUCAAAGACUUUUUUGUUGUAAAAAUAAUCAGUUAUAUUUUUAUAGGCCAAUCGAUGUAUUGACAAGUGAUAAAUAAUUUUAUAUUUUAAUAAAUUUUUUAAAUAA